UAAGAUUUUAUUUAUUUAUUUGACAGAGAUAGAGACAGCCAGCGAGAGAGGGAACACAAGCAGGGGGAGUGGGAGAGGAAGAAGCAGGCUCAUAGCAGAGAAGCCUGAUGUGGGGCUCGAUCCCAUGACACCGGGAUCACGCCCUGAGCCGAAGGCAGACGCUUAACCGCUGUGCCACCCAGGCGCCCCACUACAGGCUCUUUCUGACCACAACCUGAACCCGGUGACUGAAAGCAAACAAAUUUCACCUACUCCUCAGCGCGCGCGAGACCCUGGAGAGAGCGUGUAUAAACCAGCAAGGGUCGACAACGCAGCUUCGACAACGUGUAACUGAUUUUCCGUCUCUCUCAGCUCAGAAGGCGGAGUCACAAAACGCUGUGCACACUCCCUUAUGUAACGUGACUUUGAGCUAACAAAAGAUCCAGAAGGACCUUCUGACAUAUUUGUCACCCAAGAAUCAACAAACAGCUGGCCUCUAUUCAACCUGGGUCAUCGGUCUCAAU
rnacentral:lncRNA from 1 species